AUUCCACCCAGACCAAUUAUAUUGAGGUGAAGUGGUCUUGGUGUCUAUAGCGUCCCUUUAAGAAAGGGAUGCUAUAGCAGUGGUAUCUAUUGGUUAAAUCUUCGUUAUGUGCAGUGACUUUCUGAUUUGCAUAGACUUGCGGAUACUGUGAAAUAGUUUGAAUGCUCUGGGACUUGGAUUUGAUAUGUUUUCGCUUAUGCUCCCCUGUGUGACCGUUAUAUAUUUUAUUGUUGACUAUAUAUUUAUACAUUUUUUGCACAGUUUUGAAUGCAUCACAAUAAGUUAAAUGAGCAUUGCUAAAGGGUAGUCCCAGUUCACAAAUAAAUAAUCCAGAUGCCUAAGUCUAAUGGCUGCCUUGCUUCACUGCUUCCUGGUAUUUGGGAUCAG